rnacentral:misc_RNA from 1 species
UCCGAGUUGACCCCGGCAGUCUCCCAUGAGUCCCCGGCACAACCCGCUGGCAACAUGGAACGAGGGUUGCGCUCGUUGCGGGACUUAACCCAACACCUCACGGCACGAGCUGACGACAGCCAUGCACCACCUGUGAAGGUGCCCCGAAGGGAGACCGUGUUUCUCGAGACUUUCCCCUAGAUGUCAAGCCCAGGUAAGGUUCUUCGCGUUGCGUCGAAUUAAACCACAUGCUCCACCGCUUGUGCGGGCCCCCGUCAAUUCCUUUGAGUUUCAGCCUUGCGGCCGUACUCCCCAGGCGGGGCACUUAAUGCGUUAGCGCCGGCACCCAGGGGGUCGCUCCCCCAGGCACCUAGUGCCCAUCGUUUACGGCGUGGACUAC